rnacentral:rRNA from 1 species
UACGUAGGGGGCUAGCGUUGUCCGGAUUUAUUGGGCGUAAAGAGCGUGUAGGCGGCCUGGUAGGUCUGCUGUGAAAACUCGAGGCUCAACCUCGAGAUGUCGGCGGAAACCAUCUGGCUAGAGUCCGGAAGAGGAGAGUGGAAGUUCCUGGUGUAGCGGUGAAAUGCGCAGAUAUCAGGAAGAACACCUAUGGCGAAGGCAGCUCUCUGGGACGGUACUGACGCUGAGGAGCGAAAGCCAGGGAGCAAACGGG